AUCUAUACUAUUAAACGAGAAGACCUCAUUUUGGGUGUCGCUUCUCUUCUUUCCACAAUAAAUUAAUCAACACGCCUCUGUGUCCUAUAGGUACAGUGCAUAGUCGCAUUUGUCAUCCAUUUAUAUGAUUAUUCAGAUUCAGUUAUUUUAAGAGAAAAACGAGAAAAAAGGCAUCCGGAUAUUGUCCCGUCAUUGGACGAAACUUUAAGUCGGAUUAGACUUCCGGUUUGCGUUUUUCUGUAUACUUUGAACAUACAUAUAUUACGAAUAAAGUGUAUUUUCAGAAUUUUAUCUGCUAUCAUUUUUAAGUUAACUAUCCACGGCGGUCACAGAGUUUAUUAAAUAGAGAGGGUCUGUAUACUAUAUCAAUGACCACCAUGGAUCGAUUAGUAAACUUAGAAUUGAAAGUAAAUAGACUUUAUUUAUAUAGUAAUGAAUGUUCAUAAUAUACAGAUAAGCGCUAAAAUUAUUCAUGUGAACUUUUGAUACCUUUUCUGAAAUUCUCCAGUCAUUAAAUCUUUUACAAAAUUCAUUGAUGACAAAAAUAAAGAAGAUGUGGUAUGAUUGCCAUGUUGCGACAACUCUCCACAAGAGACCAAAAUGACACAGAAAUUAACAACUAUAGGUCACCGUACGGCCUUCAACAAAAUGCAAAGCCCAUAUCGCAUACUCAGCUUCAAAAGGCCCCGAAAUGACAAUGUAAAACAAUGCAAACAAGAAAACCAGCGGCCUUAUUUAUGUACAAAAAAUGAACGAAACACAAAUAUGUAACACAUAAACAAACGAC
rnacentral:lncRNA from 1 species